AUUGAACGCUGGCGGCAGGCUUAACAUAUGCAAGUCGAGCGGGGUGAUGGUGCUUGCACUAUCACUUAGCGGCGGACGGGUGAGUAAUGCUUAGGAAUCUGCCUAUUAGUGGGGGACAACAUCUCGAAAGGGAUGCUAAUACCGCAUACGUCCUACGGGAGAAAGCAGGGGAUCACUUGUGACCUUGUGCUAAUAGAUGAGCCUAAGUCGGAUUAGCUAGUUGGUGGGGUAAAGGCCUACCAAGGCGACGAUCUGUAGCGGGUCUGAGAGGAUGAUCCGCCACACUGGGACUGAGACACGGCCCAGACUCCUACGGGAGGCAGCCGUGGGGAAUAUUGGACAAUGGGGGGAACCCUGAUCCAGCCAUGCCGCGUGUGUGAAGAAGGCCUUAUGGUUGUAAAGCACUUUAAGCGAGGAGGAGGCUUACCUAGUUAAUACCUGGGAUAAGUGGACGUUACUCGCAGAAUAAGCACCGGCUAACUCUGUGCCAGCCGCCGCGGUAAAAC
rnacentral:rRNA from 1 species